rnacentral:rRNA from 1 species
UACGUAGGGUGCAAGCGUUACUCGGAAUUACUGGGCGUAAAGCGUGCGCAGGCGGUUUUGUAAGUCAGAUGGGAAAUCCCCGGGCUUAACCUGGGAACUGCGUUUGAAACUACAAGGCUAGAGUGUGGCAGAGGGGGGUGGAAUUCCGCGUGUAGCAGUGAAAUGCGUAGAUAUGCGGAGGAACACCGAUGGCGAAGGCAAUCCCCUGGGCCUGCACUGACGCUCAUGCACGAAAGCGUGGGGAGCAAACAGG